rnacentral:rRNA from 1 species
AGCGAACGCUGGCGGCAGGCCUAACACAUGCAAGUCGAACGAAGUCUUCGGACUUAGUGGCGGACGGGUGAGUAACACGUGGGAACGUACCUUUUGGUUCGGAACAACUCAGGGAAACUUGAGCUAAUACCGGAUGAGCCCUUCGGGGGAAAGAUUUAUCGCCAUUAGAGCGGCCCGCGUUAGAUUAGCUAGUUGGUGAGGUAAAGGCUCACCAAGGCUACGAUCUAUAGCUGGUCUGAGAGGAUGAUCAGCCACACUGGGACUGAGACACGGCCCAGACUCCUACGGGAGGCAGCAGUGGGGAAUCUUGCGCAAUGGGCGAAAGCCUGACGCAGCCAUGCCGCGUGAAUGAUGAAGGUCUUAGGAUUGUAAAAUUCUUUUACCAGGGACGAUAAUGACGGUACCUGGAGAAAAAGCCCCGGCUAACUUCGUGCCAGCCGCCGCAGUAA